rnacentral:rRNA from 1 species
UAGGGAAUCUUCGGCAAUGGGGGGAACCCUGACCGAGCAACGCCGCGUGAGUGAAGAAGGUUUUCGGAUCGUAAAGCUCUGUUGUUAAGGAAGAACGAGUGUGAGAAUGGAAAGUUCAUACUGUGACGGUACUUAACCAGAAAGCCACGGCUAACUACGUGCCAGCAGCCGCGGUAAUACGUAGGUGGCAAGCGUUGUCCGGAUUUAUUGGGCGUAAAGCGAGCGCAGGCGGUCAAUUAAGUCUGAUGUGAAAGCCCCCGGCUCAACCGGGGAGGGUCAUUGGAAACUGGUUGACUUGAGUGCAGAAGAGGAGAGUGGAAUUCCAGGUGUAGCGGUGAAAUGCGUAGUUAUAUGGAGGAACACCAGUGGCGAAGGCGACUCUCUGGUCUGUAACUGACGCUGAGGUUCGAAAGCGUGGGUAGCAAACAGG